AGGGUUUUGGGUCCAAAUAUGGGUUUAGGGGCUUCGGAGGAGCCGGAUCUGAAGUUUCCCCCUUUUUCGGCCACCGCAGACGGCGGUGCCAGUGCUGGAGAUAAGCGGCCGGCGCGGUGGUCGAUGACCGGCUGAUGGCCGGACGACUAGGGAAGGGGAGAGAGUUUCUGAAGGAUUUUUUUUUGUUUUUUUUAAAGAAGAAUAAAAAUGAAUUUUUUUUGAAAUGAUUUUGGCUUAAAUAAGCCUACUAAAACGAGGUCGUUUCGGGCAUGGGUCGACCUGACUCCGACCCGACCUGGCCUAGGAUCCGCGUGUUUUUGAGCGGAGGGGUAAAUUGCGCUUUAGCCC
rnacentral:lncRNA from 1 species